rnacentral:rRNA from 1 species
CUGGCUCAGAGCGAACGCUGGCGGCAGGCUUAACACAUGCAAGUCGAGCGGGCGUAGCAAUACGUCAGCGGCAGACGGGUGAGUAACGCGUGGGAACAUACCUUUUGGUUCGGAACAACACAGGGAAACUUGUGCUAAUACCGGAUAAGCCCUUACGGGGAAAGAUUUAUCGCCGAAAGAUUGGCCCGCGUCUGAUUAGCUAGUUGGUAGGGUAAUGGCCUACCAAGGCGACGAUCAGUAGCUGGUCUGAGAGGAUGAUCAGCCACAUUGGGACUGAGACACGGCCCAAACUCCUACGGGAGGCAGCAGUGGGGAAUAUUGGACAAUGGGGGCAACCCUGAUCCAGCCAUGCCGCGUGAGUGAUGAAGGCCCUAGGGUUGUAAAGCUCUUUUGUGCGGGAAGAUAAU